GCCGCCCCCCUCCUCCUCUGCUGCCUCCGUCCGCCGACCUAGGCGACCCCCAUCGCUGUCGAUGGCGCCCGGUGCGGCGAGGUCGACGCCGCCUCCCUCUCCCGCACCAGACCCCACGGAGGGAAGGGAGCCUCCUUCAUCGUGCUGCGAGCGUGGCGACGACAAGCACUAGAGGGAGCCGUGCUUUUUGCCUCUGCCGUCUCAGGGUCGUCGUGCCACCACCAGGCUGUGGCGCUCCUACUCUCCGCCGCCCUCUACGCUGACGAGCAAGGGCGGGAUCCCCAUCACGGCAUCCUCCACUCCGAUGGCAGGAGCGGUGCUCCUCACUGUGCUGGUACACCAUGCUGCUCAGAUCCGUCACGGUGGACUCGAUACAGGUGUGCAUUUCCUUACCAAAGGUGCGCACCUCUAUUUUUCUGCUCUAUUGGGAAGCUUACACCGAGCACACUACACGUGUAUCCUCCUCUUUCCUGUAGCCUUCCUCCAGAUGUUUUUGGUGUCUUACGAUUUUGUUGGCUGCUCAGACGGGACGAGGCUGUUAGACUUUUUGGUAUGAGGCAAGAAGGAAGUAGAAUGAGGCGCACUCUUAGGAAUCCUCUGUCCUAAGAAAGAACAUGGAAAGCGCACUCUUGGGAAAAAGAAGGAAACUACAAUCUAGCAAAUGAAUAAAGAAACAGAAGCUUGCUCACAAAAUUUCGCAUAAGUGGUUGGCAUCAUCACUAGAAGAUCUUCAUAGUAUCAACACAAUCAAGUGAGGGGAGGUUUCUGAUCUUCAGAGCAUUGCAAGUUUGGUGACUCUUCUGCUGGAGACAUGUGGCCCUCUUCGAGUAAUGCAGAUUCACAGGAUAGUGCUGAGUCUGGUAUUCAAAAGACAUCCCAUGAAUAUGGUAAUGUACUAAUGUCAUCCAACAAACGGCUGAGCAGAAAAUGUGAUAAUGCCAUUGUCUUAUUGGACAUGGUUGUAGCCAUGAGUCAAGCUCAAACAGUUGGUGUAACUUAGUUGUAAAUUAUGUUUAUUGAUGUGGUUGGAUGCUACUGAACAAAUGUAUGUAUGUUGAAAUGUUGAAAUUUUAGUAUGAAAGUGUUUGAGGUCUGCUAUUGAA